rnacentral:rRNA from 1 species
AUGCUCCGCCUCCGCAGCUGCGUCGUCACCCACCUCCUCUCCUCUCGCACCGCCUCCCCACUCCUCUCUCUCCAGCGCCUCCUCUCCACCGCCGCCGCGCCCGCCGUUUCCCCAAACCCUAGCUUCGCCGUCGAGGACUACCUCGUCUCCACCUGCGGGCUGACCCGAGCCAAGGCGCUCAAGGCCUCCGCGAAGCUCUCCCACCUCAAGUCCCCCGCCAAGCCCGACGCCGUCCUCGCCUUCCUCGCCGGCCUCGGCCUCUCCGGCGCCGACGUCGCCGCGGUCGUCGCCAAAGACCCGCUCUUCCUCUGCGCCGGCGUGGAGGGAAACCUGGGCCCCGCCGUCGCGGGGCUCACCGGCCUCGGCCUCUCGCGCUCUGAGGUCGCGCGCCUCGUCUCGCUCUCCCCCGACCGAUUCCGCCGCAAGAACGUCGUCCCCAAGGCGCACUACUACCUGUCCCUCUUAGGGUCCUCCGAGGACCUCCUCUUGGCGGCCAGGCGCGGCUUGUUCCUUUUCUCGGUCGACCUCGACAUUGUGGUGAAGCCCAAUGUCGCGGCGCUGCGGGAGUGCGGGCUAGGUGCUCGUGAUAUUGCCAAGCUGCUCAUCCAAAUGCCGAGGAUCGUCACGGCCAGCCCAGGGCGCGUCCUGGCAAUGGUUGCGUGUGCCGAAGGCAUAGGCGUGCCCCGUGGCUCGGGGAUGUUCAGGCACGCGCUGCAGACUGUCGCAUGCUUCAGCGAGGACAAGAUUGCCGCCAAAGUGGAACAGUUAAAGAAGACAUUGCGGUGGUCGGAUGCCGAUGUCGGCAUUGCUCUGUGCAAGUGGCCCGCUGUGCUGAGGUGGUCCAAGGACAUGCUGCAGCGCAAGUCCGAGUUCCUCAUCUCUAAGGUGGGGUUGGAACCGGCGUACAUUGCUCACCGGCCCAUAAUGCUCAGUCUUAGCCUCGAGGGCCGGCUCAAGCCUCGGUACUAUGUUAUGAGGUUUCUUCAGGAAAAUGGAUUGCUAAGUCAUGGCAGAGACUACUAUGCUAUGGUCUUGGUCGGCGAGAAGGUAUUUGUGGAGAGGUUCAUACGCCCCCACAAGCAAGCUGCGCCACUCAUUGCUGAAGACUAUGCAGCCGCUUGCAUAGGGGAGGUGCCUGCUAGAUUCAGAUUUACGUGA